rfam:Picea glauca, whole genome shotgun sequence.
ACAUGCCUACAACAUAGCGUUAAUGCACCAGAUCCCAUUAAAACUCCACAGUUAAUCACGCUCAGGCUAGAGUUGUACUAGGAUGGGUGACCACCCGGAAAGUUCUAGUAUUUUACAUUCC